rnacentral:rRNA from 1 species
CUACGUGCCAGCAGCCGCGGUAAUACGUAGGUCCCGAGCGUUGUCCGGAUUUAUUGGGCGUAAAGCGAGCGCAGGCGGUUAGAUAAGUCUGAAGUUAAAGGCUGUGGCUUAACCAUAGUACGCUUUGGAAACUGUUUAACUUGAGUGCAAGAGGGGAGAGUGGAAUUCCAUGUGUAGCGGUGAAAUGCGUAGAUAUAUGGAGGAACACCGGUGGCGAAAGCGGCUCUCUGGCUUGUAACUGACGCUGAGGCUCGAAAGCGUGGGGAGCAAACAGGACUAGAUACCCUGGUAGUCCACGCCGUAAACGAUGAGUGCUAGGUGUUAGACCCUUUCCGGGGUUUAGUGCCGCAGCUAACGCAUUAAGCACUCCGCCUGGGGAGUACGACCGCAAGGUUGAAACUCAAAGGAAUUGACGGGGGCCCGCACAAGCGGUGGAGCAUGUGGUUUAAUUCGAAGCAACGCGAAGAACCUUACCAGGUCUUGACAUCCCUCUGACCGCUCUAGAGAUAGAGUUUUC